AAGAAGCUUGGAGAGAAAAGAAAAAGAAGAAGAGAGAGGGGGGUUCGGCCAUGGUUGGCCGAACUUGGAGCCAUGGAAAAUUGAUCAAAAAAAUAUAUUUUCUUCUAGCUUUUCUAUCAAUUGGAAGGUCCUCUAUAACGUGGAGUAGUAGUUGGAGCAAGCAAACCAUUCAUUUGUGCAAAUAUACACCCCUAGCCGAGUGAAGAGAUGUGUGGAAAAGACUAGCAAGUUUGGACGAAUAAGCGUAGCUAAUUGGACGUGGGACAGGUAAACCCAGAUGAAUAGAAGCCAUUAUAGAGGAUGUUCCAGCGAAGUUGGCAAGCUCCAUUUGCCCCUGGAGUGUUGCCGGGUCAGAGAAUUAUGCUAUGAUGUCUUGUUCGGAGUUAGAGACUUUGCAGACAGAGUUGUGGGUAUAGAAUGUCAGUAUUGUAAGCGGCUCUACCAGCCGAUGUGUUAUUAUGUUUCAUGUUACAAGUUUCAUGCGAUGACAUAUUUUAUUUGAUUUGAGAAUGAUAAGAAGAAAGUUUCUGAAAGCCUUAUUAUGUA